AGUUUGACUUCAGUUUACGGCUUGUGCAGUUCUUCAUCCGACCGCCAGGGGGAGACAUUUUGCAGCCUCAUUACUGAUUCCUGAGAGCUGAACUGGAAUGAGAAACUUGAACUAGAAACCACCUGUGUGAGGAUACAGGAUCCAGACUGAAGAUCUCUGUGCUGGACCCAGGCCCAUGGAAGCCUGUUGACUGUCUGAAAUCCCUGAAGACAACCAAACGCUGUGAUUGGAUGAAACAUCUGUUUCAGAGAUGCACGGUUUCAGUCGGAAACAUGUGGGAAAGACGUGCAUGAUGAUGAGAUGAAAUGAGGCGUGAAACCUUGGAGCUGUGGAGAGGCCAUUCAGCUGCCGACUGUGUCCAAACAAACCUUCACUGUUUUUAUGAACCUUCUCUCACACAAAGGAACCUGCACAGAGCUACAUCUGCAGAGAGGAGCAGCAGGAGGUCCGGGUUUCUGGGAAAGGUUCUUGAAGCAUCCAAGGAAUUAAACCUUUUCUGGAACCAAAACACUCGAAGGUUAUAGACAGAAAAACACGUUUAAUUUCUAACAAAGCUAAUCAGUUAAUAAAUCUGAGAUCUAGAAAAAGUUAGGUGGUACAGGACCCGCUCAGAACCAACUAUCCUGGAUCCGCCCACCGUAAACAUGUAGCUAAAACAAAGCUGCGCUGCUUCCAUAGCUGGAUUUAAAUGUUUCCUUCAAUAAACCUGAGUUGCUUUA